rnacentral:rRNA from 1 species
CAACUUUCCGCAAUGGAAGGCUAGGCUCCCCCCUCCAUGAAAAACCCUGCCAACUGCCAUACCUAAUGGCAAUUGCAGGAUUCCAUGAGUCCUCGAAAUUUUUAACACAUAUUUGCCUUCCCGGUUAACCCUGGGAAUAUGCCCGCUACAUUGUCCGUAC